rnacentral:rRNA from 1 species
GUGUCAGCAGCCGCGGUAAUACAGAGGGGGCAAGCGUUAUUCGGAAUUAUUGGGCGUAAAGGGCGCGUAGGCGGCCUGGCAAGUGGAAGGUGAAAUCCCUCGGCUUAACCGAGGAACUGCCCUCCAAACUGCUUGGCUUGAGUCCGGGAGAGGUGAGUGGAAUUCCCAGUGUAGCGGUGAAAUGCGUAGAUAUUGGGAGGAACACCAGUGGCGAAGGCGGCUCACUGGACCGGAACUGACGCUGAGGCGCGAAAGCGUGGGGAGCAAACGGGAUUAGAAACCCUAGUAGUCC